rnacentral:rRNA from 1 species
UCCAGACUCCUACGGGAGGCAGCAGUGGAGGAUAUUGCACAAUGGGGGGAACCCUGAUGCAGCGACGCCGCGUGGGUGAAGGAGCGUUUCGGCGCGUAAAGCCCUAUCGGCAGGGAAGAAGGAGGACGGUACCUGACUAAGAAGCCCCGGCUAACUACGUGCCAGCAGCCGCGGUAAUACGUAGGGGGCAAGCGUUAUCCGGAUUUACUGGGUGUAAAGGGGGCGCAGACGGCAGCGCAAGCCAGGAGUGAAAGCCCGGGGCCCAACCCCGGGACUGCUCUUGGAACUGCGCGGCUGGAGUGCAGGAGGGGCAGGCGGAAUUCCUGGUGUAGCGGUGAAAUGCGUAGAUAUCAGGAGGAACACCGGCGGCGAAGGCGGCCUGCUGGACCGUGACUGACGUUGAGGCUCGAGAGCGUGGGGAGCAAACAGGAUUAGAUACCCUAGUA